ACGGGAGGCAGCAGUGGGGAAUAUUGCACAAUGGGGGAAACCCUGAUGCAGCGACGCCGCGUGAGUGAAGAAGUAUUUCGGUAUGUAAAGCUCUAUCAGCAAGGAAGAAAAUGACGGUACUUGACUAAGAAGCCCCGGCUAACUACGUGCCAGCAGCCGCGGUAAUACGUAGGGGGCAAGCGUUAUCCGGAUUUACUGGGUGUAAAGGGAGCGUAGACGGCAUAGCAAGUCUGAAGUGAAAUGCAUGGGCUCAACCCAUGAACUGCUUUGGAAACUGUUAAGCUAGAGUGCAGGAGGGGUAAGUGGAAUUCCUAGUGUAGCGGUGAAAUGCGUAGAUAUUAGGAGGAACACCAGUGGCGAAGGCGGCUUACUGGACCGUAACUGACGUUGAGGCUCGAAAGCGUGGGGAGCAAACAGGAUUAGAUACCCUGGUA
rnacentral:rRNA from 1 species